CCUACGGGGGGCAGCAGUGGGGAAUCUUCGGCAAUGGGCGCAAGCCUGACCCAGCAACGCCGCGUGAAGGAAGAAGGCCCUCGGGUCGUAAACUUCUUUUGUCAGGGACGAAGCAAGUGACGGUACCUGACGAAUAAGCCACGGCUAACUACGUGCCAGCAGCCGCGGUAAUACGUAGGUGGCAAGCGUUAUCCGGAUUUACUGGGUGUAAAGGGCGUGUAGGCGGGUCUUUAAGCGUGCCGUGAAAUUUUGUGGCUCAACCUUGAGAGUGCGGCGCGAACUGGAGACCUUGAGUGCGCGGAAGGCGGGCGGAAUUCGUGGUGUAGCGGUGAAAUGCUUAGAUAUCACGAAGAACCCCGAUGGCGAAGGCAGCCUGCCGCAGCGUUACUGACGCUGAAGCUCGAAAGCGCGGGUAGCGAACAGGAUUAGAUACCCGAGUAGUC
rnacentral:rRNA from 1 species